AUUCCCGGACCACGCCUGGCUGAGGGUCGUUUA
rnacentral:rRNA from 1 species